UACGAGGGGGGCAAGUGUUGUUCGGAAUUACUGGGCGUAAAGGGAGCGUAGGCGGGCUCUUAAGUUGGAUGUUUAAAAACCGGGGCCUAACCCCGGCGUGGCAUCCAAAACUGGGAGUCUUGAAUGGGACAGAGGCCAGUGGAAUUAGAGGUGUAGCGGUGGAAUGCGUAGACAUCUCUAAGAACACCAGUUGCGAAGGCGGCUGGCUGGGUCCACAUUGACGCUGAGGCUCGAAAGCGUGGGGAGCAAACAGG
rnacentral:rRNA from 1 species